GACGAACGCUGGCGGCGUGCUUAACACAUGCAAGUCGAACGGAAAGGCCCUGCUUUUGUGGGGUGCUCGAGUGGCGAACGGGUGAGUAGCACGUGAGUAACCUGCCCUUGACUUUGGGAUAACUUCAGGAAACUGGGGCUAAUACCGGAUAGGAGCUCCUGCUGCAUGGUGGGGGUUGGAAAGUUUCGGCGGUUGGGGAUGGACUCGCGGCUUAUCAGCUUGUUGGUGGGGUAGUGGCUUACCAAGGCUUUGACGGGUAGCCGGCCUGAGAGGGUGACCGGCCACAUUGGGACUGAGAUACGGCCCAGACUCCUACGGGAGGCAGCAGUGGGGAAUAUUGCACAAUGGGCGGAAGCCUUAUGCAGCAACGCCGCGUGCGGGAUGACGGCCUUCGGGUUGUAAACCGCUUUCGCCUGUGACGAAGCGUGAGUGACGGUAAUGGGUAAAGAAGCACCGGCUAACUACGUG
rnacentral:rRNA from 1 species